AUCACUUCUCAGCCUUUUGACUAAGAUCAAGUUGACUAAGAUUAUCAGUUUAAUAUCUGGUAUGUCCUCCAUCUGAGGACAAUGUAUUAAAUGGAUUUUUGGAAUAGUAAGAUGGAAUAGGAGCUUUGCCCAUUCACUCCAUACAUUGACGUGGUAUUGCAGAACCUCCAGGACAGCGCACCCUCU
rnacentral:snRNA from 1 species